GAUCCUGGCUCAGGAUGAACGCUGGCGGCGUGCCUAACACAUGCAAGUCGAACGAAGUUAUGCAGAGGAAGUUUUCGGAUGGAAUCGGUGUAACUUAGUGGCGGACGGGUGAGUAACGCGUGGGAAACCUGCCCUGUACCGGGGGAUAACACUUAGAAAUAGGUGCUAAUACCGCAUAAGCGCACAGCUUCACAUGAAGCAGUGUGAAAAAACUCCGGUGGUACAGGAUGGGUCCCGCGUCUGAUUAG
rnacentral:rRNA from 1 species